CCUACGGGUGGCAGCAGUGAGGAAUAUUGGUCAAUGGGCUUACGCCUGAACCAGCCAAGUCGCGUGAGGGAAGACUGCCCUACGGGUUGUAAACCUCUUUUGUCAGGGAGCAACGCCGGCUACGUGUAGCCGGACUGAGAGUACCUGAAGAAAAAGCAUCGGCUAACUCCUUGCCAGCAGCCGCGGUAAUACGGAGGAUGCGAGCGUUAUCCGGAUUUAUUGGGUUUAAAGGGUGCGUAGGCGGCAUGCCAAGUCAGCGGUAAAAUCGCGGGGCUCAACCUCGCUCCGCCGUUGAAACUGGCGGUCUUGAGUGGGCGAGAAGUAUGCGGAAUGCGUGGUGUAGCGGUGAAAUGCAUAGAUAUCACGCAGAACUCCGAUUGCGAAGGCAGCAUACCGGCGCGCAACUGACGCUGAAGCACGAAAGCGUGGGUAUCGAACAGGAUUAGAUACCCGAGUAGUC
rnacentral:rRNA from 1 species